rfam:Schistosoma mansoni strain Puerto Rico chromosome 3, complete genome
AGCUUUCUGAACCCGUACCGAGAUUUCGUCAGACACAAGAGCAUCAAGACUGAUGGGACUCCUAAGUGGAGCG